GUGGGGAUUCGUCCCCAUUGAGAUAGCACCCUUUGUUUAUGAGUACCCUUGUUUCCUCGGCGGGCUUGCCCGCCAGUAGGACAAUAAAAACCCUUUGUAGUAGCAGUAACUUCAGUUAAAAAUAAAUUUUAAAACUUUCAACAACGGAUCUCUUGGUUCU
rnacentral:misc_RNA from 1 species